rnacentral:rRNA from 1 species
GACGAACGCUGGCGGCGUGCCUAAUACAUGCAAGUUGAGCGCUGAAGGUUGGUACUUGUACCGACUGGAUGAGCAGCGAACGGGUGAGUAACGCGUGGGGAAUCUGCCUUUGAGCGGGGGACAACAUUUGGAAACGAAUGCUAAUACCGCAUAACAACUUUAAACACAAGUUUUAAGUUUGAAAGAUGCAAUUGCAUCACUCAAAGAUGAUCCCGCGUUGUAUUAGCUAGUUGGUGAGGUAAAGGCUCACCAAGGCGAUGAUACAUAGCCGACCUGAGAGGGUGAUCGGCCACAUUGGGACUGAGACACGGCCCAAACUCCUACGGGAGGCAGCAGUAGGGAAUCUUCGGCAAUGGACGAAAGCCUGACCGAGCAACGCCGCGUGAGUGAAGAAGGUUUUCGGAUCGUAAAACUCUGUUGGUAGAGAAGAACGUUGGUGAGGGUGGAAAGCUCAUCAAGUGACGGUAACUACCCAGAAAGGGACGGCUAACUACGUGCCAGCCGCCGCCGUAA